ensembl:lncRNA LINC01936 long intergenic non-protein coding RNA 1936
CCAACACUUUGGGAGGCCGAGGCGGGUGGAUCACCUGAGGUCAGGGGUUCAAGACCAGCCUGGGCAACAUGGCAAAACCCCAUCUCUACAAAAAAUACAAAAAUUAGCCCGACGUGAUGAUGAGAAGAGAAUGAGCCAUGUGUUUCCUGAAACAUCCAGUGGCCUCACCGGAGAAUCUGCAAGAGCCGGUAAACCCAGAAGCUUGGCCGUCCAUUCCUGGAAGCAGACAUUGUGUCUUCGUCCACCAAGCCCCUGGCUCUCAACACUCACUGUGGUGGCAAGAACAUGGCACCUUGACCCUACACAGUUCUUCCAUUUUUCAGAAGCAGCUCCAGACCCUUGUCCCCAGGUUUUGACCCCACCCAGACCUUUGCCUGGGACGGAAAGCUGCUUCAUUUCAGGAGACACCUGAAGUACCUGGGUUGGUUCAGAGACUACCAGAAGUUUUUGGACUUCUUCUAGUCCUUUAAUGGCCAAAAGGACUCAAGGGCCUGGCAUGUAAUGGAAAAGGCAUCACCUCUCUCAUGGAACGCAGCUGGAAGGACCAACCCCUUCAUAGUUACAGGAAUCUGAGCUAUGAAGACACUAGCCAGGCAACAAGGCCCUGGGCUCAGACACAGAUGAAGUUUCUCUGGAAGAGAAAUCUGGCCUGUUACAGACCUGGGAAGUGCCAAGGCUUAGCUCCUGAGAAGGAUUGCUGGUGCUGACAGCUGGGAGUCAGGACUCCAGGGCCACUUGUAUGGAAGCUGGUGCCCGUGGUGCAGGAGGAUGGGGGCUCUGGAUUCUGCACCACCCCCCAUAGACUGGCCCCUCAGAGGGCUCCUGUGGUGUCAGAGCCCUCUCACAAGCGCCUGCCGUGGUUAUCAGCUGAAGCUGAGUGCUUGUGGAGUGUGGACAGAGGGCAGAGGGAGAGAAGCAGCCAUGGGCUUCCUGCCAGGAAGCUCAGCAGCUCCGAGGAGACUGGAGAGUCAUGGGACACAGUGCGUCCUCCCCAGAACAGCCUCCAGCCUGCCAGUUCAGAGCACACGCUUGGAGGCAGGAAGGCUGAGGUCCAACCCCAUUCCUGCUAUGGGCCAGCUGAGAGCUGUGGACAAGUCAUUCGGCUUCUCUGAGCCGCAGUCUUCUCACCUGUAAAGCGGGGGUAAUAAUACCCUCCUCACAAGGUUGUUGCAAGGCUUUGUGGGGAAAAAUACAAAGUGCACAGAGUUGUUCAGUAAGGCGUGGGCCUGCGGGGAAAGGCGGGGCCAUGAGCUGGCCAGGGGAGGAAAGGACAGAUGGGGACUCCAGAUAAUGAAAGCAUCUUUGCAUCCUCAAUGAUAUAAUCUGGGUUUGUUGUUGUUGUUGUUGUUUGAGACAGAGUCUCGCUCUGUCCCCCAGGCUGGAGUGCAGUGGUGCAAUUUCAGCUCACUGCAACCUGUACUUCCCGGGUUCAAGUGAUUCUCCUGCCUCAGCUUCCUGAGUAGCUGGGAUUACAGGUGCCCGCCACCAUGCCUGGCUAAUUUUUCUGUUUUUAAUAGAGACAGGGUUUCGCCAUGUUGGCCAGGAUGGCCUCGAGCUCCUGACCUCAGCUGAUCCACCCUCCUCAGCCUCCCAAAGUGCUGCGAUUACAGGCAUGAGCCACCGCGCCCGGCCCAUCUGGAGUUUUUUUGUUUGUUUGUUCCUCAUAAAGGCUACGAGGAGAGGAAGGGGCCUAGAACACAGGAUGGUGGAAGAGGGGCUCAUGGGUGGAGGGGAGGAGAGCAGAUGAGCAGGGACCCUCCCCCUUCCUCGGCAACCAUGGGGUUUGCCACACAUAUAUUUUUGAUGUCCCAUGUAUCAGGUGGAGAUGUCAACUUCUAUGAACUGAAAUAAACUGUUUCCCUAUGUGUAAAA